rnacentral:rRNA from 1 species
CGGGGAAUAUUGCGCAAUGGGCGAAAGCCUGACGCAGCAACGCCGCGUGAGGGAUGAAGGCUCUCGGGUUGUAAACCUCUUUCAGCAGGGACGCGGUACCCGCAGAAGAAGCCCCAGCCAACUACGUGCCAGCAGCCGCGGUAACACGUAGGGGCGAAGCGUUGUCCGGAUUUAUUGGGCGUAAAGAGCUCGUAGGUGGUUCGAUAAGUCGGGUGUGAAAACUCUGGGCUCAACUCAAAGACGCCACCCGAUACUGUCGGACUUGAGUCUGGUAGGGGAGUGUGGAAUUCCCGGUGUAGCGGUGAAAUGCGCAGAUAUCGGGAGGAACACCAGUGGCGAAGGCGGCACUCUGGGCCAGUACUGACACUGAGGAGCGAAAGCGUGGGUAGCGAACAGGAUUAGAUACCCGUGUAGU